UUCCCUUGUAAUCCUUCCUUGAUGCAUGGAGUGUUUAAGCAAUAGUAAAUCCAAGUUCAGAGUGGUGGGAAAGGGACGACUUGCAUCUCUGUUCUGUGAAGUACCCUCCUCCAAAUCGACAUACUGGGUUUUAAUGGGAUAUUUGACAAGAGGGAAAGCUUGAAGGAUUACAGUCUGCCUUGGCUUUGAUAAAUGUUUUAAAACCAGGUUCCAUUUGGACCACAAAUACUACCUAAUAAUAUAAUAAGAUAAUAUAUUUCCUUUCUUUUUUUUUUUUUUUUCCUGAGAUAGGGUUUCUCUGUGUAGCCCUGGCUGUCCUGGAACUCACUCUGUAGACCAGGUUGGCCUCGAACUCAGAAAUCUGCCUGCCUCUGCCACCCAGGGGCUGGGAUUAAAGCCGUGCACCACCACCACCACCCGCAUUAUAUUUCCUUUCUUAAUACUUAAAAGAUAUUGGAAGCUGGAAGAAAAAGUCAUGGAGAAGGGGGUCUAGUCCACUAAAAUUAUAUUUAUUUGUAGGAAUCAUUUUUUUUCCUGGCUUUUCUGUUUUUAACAUCCUGGCAAAAAUUGGGUUUCUAGUAAAUAGUCCAGGACCUUAAUUUCUUUCCAUAUGAAGCCUUAAGGUUUAUUUUCAAUACUUUGUUCAUAUAAAAUUAAAGGAAUAAACAACUUAAGAUUAGAUAAACAUUUAAUACAUUUUUGUGUACAUAAUAAAUUUAAUCCAGAAGUGAAGUGCAUGAAAAUGUGAUUUUCUAAAACAAAAACCAUGCUUCCCUUCCAUUGCCAUACCUGCUAUUUAAUUGUAGAUUGCUAUUUUCUGGAUGUUAAAAUCUGGUGAAUGAGAUAGCAAUUGUGGAAUGAGGGUGUAUAGUGCUUUAUGCACAGAUGGAUAGAGAAAGGUGCCUUGUUCUUCAUUGGAAUAUCUGAAAAUUCCAUUACCUCUUUUUAUUUUUUUCUUAACCCUUCACCUCCUUAACCAUGCUGAACCACACUGACUUGCUUAGAAUCCCAUGGGAGCGAUGCACAGGCAGUUCACUUUUCUGUUGUUGUUAUUGUUUGGUUUUGAAGGCUAAUCAUGGAACAUGGAAGAGAUGUCUCAUUCACUACAUAGGCCAUUGUGCUGUGUGGCAGUCACUGCAGUCUCAUCCUGUACAUAGGAUCUGUACCUGUUAUUUAUAAUAACUAGUGCAAUGGAAGGCAAACAAGCUUGACACAGAUCAGCUUUGGACAGCUGAAAAGCUACACUUUGACCUUUUAGGGCCAACUCCUGGCUGAUAAUUAAGAUAUUGCCAUGUGGUUUGAGUAUAUGUAAGCUUGAAUAAGUGCACUGUGUAACAUCUUUUGGGGAGGAGAUUAAAAUGCUAGUUAAGGGAAUAUCUGCCAUGUGGCUUUUGCGAGUUUGGAAACAAUGGAGGUCAAAGGGAAGUUUUAAAGAAUUGUAAAGGGUGAAAGAUAUUUCAGCAUUAAAAUCCUAAGCAUGAAGUGAGGGAAAGAGAGAGAGAAUGGAGCUUUUGCUGGUGUGUACAGGUUUUCUGUGUUCUUCCUCUUAGUGUCCUGCUGUUAUUCCUGCCAGUAUUGUACAUUUGUGAUUGACUAGCCUGUCAAAUCAUUCAACUGUUUGGAAAGUAUUUGUGUAAAUCUUUGUGCCAACAAGAACGCUCUCAGUGUUGUGUCUCUUUACCUCAUUGACUUGAUCCUUGUGAGAUUGUAGCUUCUGACAGAAGCCAAGGUGGAGUCUCAUGAAACCUGCUAGGUCAGUUCUUUGAGCAGCUACCCAAAGCAGGAGACUCAACUGAGAAACCUUGGACAGCUUCAGCCUAGCAUGUUGACCUCAGAGGCUUAUUCUCUAAAGUUUCGUGUAGACUGUGAUGUUCACCUGUGGCUUUGACUCAUUUCUAAUGUGGUUUAAUUUUAUUUGUCUUUGGAAAGCUUUGUAGAAAUGCAAUUUUUAUACUAAUGACACUGUUCAUUUGUGAGUCAGUAUAUUAUAAAAUGGUGUGUUUUUUUGUAAUAGUUUUGAUUGUUUAGCCCAGUGUAUUUAUUUUCCAUUACCUAUGUAUUCUGUGCUCUCAAAUAGAUGUGUAGCAAUUGAAAUGAGAAAUCAGUUCAUCAUUUCAAGUACUACAUUGCCUGCAUUACAAAUUCUCUGAUCACAGAAUUGUACAUAACCCUGAGCCUAUGUACUGCCAUUUGAUUGUCAGGUUCCAUUUGUGUCAAAACCUAAAGAUAGUGAUGACCAAGUGAAACAGAGUGGUGUAUUGCUUUUUCAUAUGAAUAUUUUCACAUAAAAGCAUUUGUGAAAGCAGUUGAAAAUAUUACUUUGU
rnacentral:lncRNA from 1 species